GCGCCGUGAACUCCCACGUGCCCGGUUCCUCGGCCAGCGCCUGCCCGCCGAAGAACCCGCCAUCGGCCAGCACGCCGCGCCGGGACUCAUCGCCGUACGCGCCAGGGGCGAGCUUCUCCACCUUGCCGCGGGCGAUCAGGUGGACCUCGUCGAGUGUCCGACCCCGCUCGGCGAUCACCUGGCCGGCUGCAUACUCCCGUCGUUCGCACCGGUCUGCCAGCGCCCGCAGCACCCCGGCGUCGUCGUACCCGCGCAGCAGCGGCAGUUCGCCCAGCUCGGCGGGGAUGACCUUGACCGCCGCCCCUUCCUGGACGAACGUCACGCGGCCGUCGCCGACCUCGUACGCCAGCCGCCGGUUGACCCGGUACGUGCCGCCUUUGACCUCCACCCAAGGCAGCGUCCGCAGCAGCCACCGCGAGCUGAGGCCCUGCAUCUGCGGCACGGUCUUGGUGGUGGUCGCCAGGUUCCGGGCAGCGGCGAUACCCAGGCUGAGCUGCUCGCGGCCU
rnacentral:antisense_RNA from 1 species